AGAGUUUGAUCAUGGCUCAGGAUGAACGCUAGCGGCAGGCUUAACACAUGCAAGUCGAGGGGUAUAGUUCUUCGGAACUAGAGACCGGCGCACGGGUGCGUAACGCGUAUGCAAUCUACCUUUCACAAAGGGAUAGCCCAGAGAAAUUUGGAUUAAUACCUUAUAGUAUAGCGAGUUCGCAUGGAUUUGCUAUUAAAGAUUUAUCGGUGAAAGAUGAGCAUGCGUCCCAUUAGCUAGUUGGUAAGGUAACGGCUUACCAAGGCUACGAUGGGUAGGGGUCCUGAGAGGGAGAUCCCCCACACUGGUACUGAGACACGGACCAGACUCCUACGGGAGGCAGCAGUGAGGAAUAUUGGUCAAUGGGCGCAAGCCUGAACCAGCCAUGCCGCGUGCAGGAUGACGGUCCUAUGGAUUGUAAACUGCUUUUGUACAGGAAGAAACACCCCGACGUGUCGGGACUUGACGGUACUGUAAAAAAUAAAGGAUCGGCUAACUCCGUGCCAGCAGCCGCGGUAAUACGGAGGGAUCCAAGCGUUAUCCGGAAUCAUUUGGGUUUAAAGGGGCCCGUAGGGCGGCUUAAUAAGUCAGUGGGGGAAAACCCUUACCCUUAACGUAGGAAACGGGCAUUGAUACUGUUAAGGCUUUGAAUUAUUAGGAAGUAACCAAGAAUAUGUAGGGUACCGGGGGAAAAUGCUUAAAGAAUUCAUGGGAAUACCCAUUGCCGAAGGCGGGUUACUCCUAUGGGAUUGACGCUGAUGGACAAAAGCGCGGGUAGCAACAAGGAUUAAAUACCC
rnacentral:rRNA from 1 species